UCACCCACACUAUUGGGAAGUCCCCUAGUGUGAGGUUUGCUCCUCAUGUCCAGGGCCUUAGGGAUAGACAGCAGCUCCUGGGAAGCCAGAGAAAAGAAACCCACACUCAAGCAAGUACCUCAGGUUUCAGGCUCUCGGUGACCUGUGGUCAGACGAAAGCGAUUGAAGGUAUUUUUCUUUGUUCUGGAACUGAUGGUUCCUGGAAAGACAUCUGAAACCUACGUUUUUCUCCCUAGCAUGAAACUGCCAUAAAUGUCUACAGAGAAAAAACAUGAUAUAUUUUGUUGAAUGCAAGUAGUCAAAUUUAUGUAACAAGCUUCACCAAUAUACCUAAGGUAAGAUGCAAAAUGAAUCUUUGUAAGAAAAAUACAAUUCAAUAUAAAUAGAAUGUUACAGUGA